CAGUCGCCACGGUAAUACGGAGGGUGCAAGCGUUAAUCGGAAUUACUGGGCGUAAAGCGCACGCAGGCGGUUUGUUAAGUCAGAUGUGAAAUCCCCGAGCUUAACUUGGGAACUGCAUUUGAAACUGGCAAGCUAGAGUCUUGUAGAGGGGGGUAGAAUUCCAGGUGUAGCGGUGAAAUGCGUAGAGAUCUGGAGGAAUACCGGUGGCGAAGGCGGCCCCCUGGACAAAGACUGACGCUCAGGUGCGAAAGCGUGGGGAGCAAACAGGAUUAGAGACCCCGGUAGUCCCUGUCUCUUAUAC
rnacentral:rRNA from 1 species